rnacentral:rRNA from 1 species
GAUGAACGCUGGCGGCGUGCCUAAUACAUGCAAGUCGAGCGAACAGACAAGGAGCUUGCUCCUUUGACGUUAGCGGCGGACGGGUGAGUAACACGUGGGUAACCUACCUAUAAGACUGGGAUAACUUCGGGAAACCGGAGCUAAUACCGGAUAAUAUUUCGAACCGCAUGGUUCGAUAGUGAAAGAUGGUUUUGCUAUCACUUAUAGAUGGACCCGCGCCGUAUUAGCUAGUUGGUAAGGUAACGGCUUACCAAGGCGACGAUACGUAGCCGACCUGAGAGGGUGAUUGGCCACACUGGAACUGAGACACGGUCCAGACUCCUACGGGAGGCAGCAGUAGGGAAUCUUCCGCAAUGGGCGAAAGCCUGACGGAGCAACGCCGCGUGAGUGAUGAAGGUCUUCGGAUCGUAAAACUCUGUUAUUAGGGAAGAACAUACGUGUAAGUAACUAUGCACGUCUUGACGGUACCUAAUCAGAAAGCCACGGCUAACUACGUGCCAGCAGCCGCGGUAAUACGUAGGUGGCAAGCGUUAUCCGGAAUUAUUGGGCGUAAAGCGCGCGCAGGCGGUUUUUUAAGUCUGAUGUGAAAGCCCACGGCUCAACCGUGGAGGGUCAUUGGAAACUGGAAAACUUGAGUGCAGAAGAGGAAAGUGGAAUUCCAUGUGUAGCGGUGAAAUGCGCAGAGAUAUGGAGGAACACCAGUGGCGAAGGCGACUUUCUGGUCUGUAACUGACGCUGAUGUGCGAAAGCGUGGGGAUCAAACAGGAUUAGAUACCCUGGUAGUCCACGCCGUAAACGAUGAGUGCUAAGUGUUAGGGGGUUUCCGCCCCUUAGUGCUGCAGCUAACGCAUUAAGCACUCCGCCUGGGGAGUACGACCGCAAGGUUGAAACUCAAAGGAAUUGACGGGGACCCGCACAAGCGGUGGAGCAUGUGGUUUAAUUCGAAGCAACGCGAAGAACCUUACCAAAUCUUGACAUCCUUUGACAACUCUAGAGAUAGAGCUUUCCCCUUCGGGGGACAAAGUGACAGGUGGUGCAUGGUUGUCGUCAGCUCGUGUCGUGAGAUGUUGGGUUAAGUCCCGCAACGAGCGCAACCCUUAAGCUUAGUUGCCAUCAUUAAGUUGGGCACUCUAAGUUGACUGCCGGUGACAAACCGGAGGAAGGUGGGGAUGACGUCAAAUCAUCAUGCCCCUUAUGAUUUGGGCUACACGCGUGCUACAAUGGACAAUACAAAGGGCAGCGAAACCGCGAGGUCAAGCAAAUCCCAUAAAGUUGUUCUCAGUUCGGAUUGUAGUCUGCAACUCGACUACAUGAAGCUGGAAUCGCUAGUAAUCGUAGAUCAGCAUGCUACGGUGAAUACGUUCCCGGGUCU